UGGGGAAUAUUGCACAAUGGGGGAAACCCUGAUGCAGCGACGCCGCGUGCGGGAUGACGGCCUUCGGGUUGUAAACCGCUUUCAGCAGGGACGAAAACAGACGGUACCUGCAGAAGAAGCGCCGGCUAACUACGUGCCAGCAGCCGCGGUAAUACGUAGGGCGCAAGCGUUGUCCGGAAUUAUUGGGCGUAAAGAGCUCGUAGGCGGUUUGUCGCGUCGGAUGUGAAAGCUCGAGGCUUAACCUCGGGUCUGCAUCCGAUACGGGCAGACUAGAGGCAGGUAGGGGAGAACGGAAUUCCCGGUGUAGCGGUGAAAUGCGCAGAUAUCGGGAGGAACACCGGUGGCGAAGGCGGUUCUCUGGGCCUGUACUGACGCUGAGGAGCGAAAGCGUGGGGAGCGAACAGG
rnacentral:rRNA from 1 species